CUUGAUUGUCCCAGCUUGCAUCCUCGGAAUCCAAGUAGGAGGAAUCAAAACAGCAUCUCUACCAGGCAGGCACCAAAAUAUAUAAAGGUACUUGGGACUUCCUCACAGUACAGAAGCUGGAUUCCGAGACUGAGUGUAUCAAGAGCUCAAAGUGGGAGCGUGUGCCAUUUUUAUAACCUAGCUUAGCGGUUACAUGACAUCACCUUUGGCAUACUGCAUCAAUCAAGGUCAUUACAAAGAUUUUACAGCAGUGUGUUGAAGCACUCGGGAGAGAUCUGUGUUCUCUGGAGAUAUGGUUCGUGCUCGGAUGGAAUGAGUCAUGGGCUAAGGGAAAACCAUUGAAAGACAUUCUGUGAAGAACUAUUGUCCUGCAGGCAGCGUAAGGAAGAAAUCAGUGCUAAGAGGCGAUUGUGGGGCUGGAGAGCCGUCUUAGCAGGAGAAAGUGCUCGCUACACAAGACUGAUUUGAUUCUGGGUUUGAUCCCCAGAAUCCACAGUGGAAAGAAAGAACCCACUCCUGAAAGUUGUCUGACCUCCUCAUACGCAUCGUGGCCUGUGUAUACCAACACACACUUCACCUCCUCCCCCUCCACACAAUGACGAUGAAUACAACCAAUUUAAAAAUCCCAAA